rnacentral:misc_RNA from 1 species
GGUUGGGGGCGUCCAGUCUCCCAGCAAAGACAGAAGCCAUUGCCUCCGAAUUUUUGAAUCUUGGGGCAGGUAUGAUAGGUUUCAGUUUAUACAUGGACUUCUCAUCAUGGAGUCCUUUGAUUUUAGAGGAACCAAAUGAAGCGUCAGUAGCAGUACCACUAUUUCCCUCAUGCUGAGGCUCUUCAUUUUCAUGCUCAUCAAAAGAAAC